GCGUGAGUGAUGAAGGCCCUAGGGUUGUAAAGCUCUUUCAACGGUGAAGAUAAUGACGGUAACCGUAGAAGAAGCCCCGGCUAACUUCGUGCCAGCAGCCGCGGUAAUACGAAGGGGGCUAGCGUUGUUCGGAAUUACUGGGCGUAAAGCGCACGUAGGCGGAUAUUUAAGUCAGGGGUGAAAUCCCGGGGCUCAACCCCGGAACUGCCUUUGAUACUGGGUAUCUCGAGUCCGAGAGAGGUGAGUGGAAUUCCGAGUGUAGAGGUGAAAUUCGUAGAUAUUCGGAGGAACACCAGUGGCGAAGGUC
rnacentral:rRNA from 1 species